AUUGAACGCUGGCGGCAGGCCUAACACAUGCAAGUCGAACGAAGUCUUCGGACUUAGUGGCGGACGGGUGAGUAACACGUGGGAACGUACCUUUUGGUUCGGAACAACUCAGGGAAAUUUGAGCUAAUACCGGAUGAGCCCUUAGGGGGAAAGAUUUAUCGCCGAAAGAGCGGCCCGCGUUAGAUUAGCUAGUUGGUGAGGUAAAGGCUCACCAAGGCUACGAUCUAUAGCUGGUCUGAGAGGAUGAUCAGCCACACUGGGACUGAGACACGGCCCAGACUCCUACGGGAGGCAGCAGUGGGGAAUCUUGCGCAAUGGGCGAAAGCCUGACGCAGCCAUGCCGCGUGAAUGAUGAAGGUCUUAGGAUUGUAAAAUUCUUUUACCAGGGACGAUAAUGACGGUACCUGGAGAAAAAGCCCCGGCUAACUUCGUGCCAGCCGCCGCGGUAAUAC
rnacentral:rRNA from 1 species